AGAAGAAAAGGGAAAGAUUGCAUUAUUCGAAGGAAGUACAGGAAAUAGGAGGGAUGAAGCCGAAGCACAAGCAGCAGAUUCAGGCGAGAACAUCAAACUGCUGCGUGACGCUCCCCAGACGCCGUCCUUUGAAGUCAUAACACACGACUCAUCUAAAUACAGGGAAUUCAUUUUGUCACCUAGCAAUAUUUGUCUCUGUGUAAAGAAUCACGAAAUUAUUUCCGUCCUGAUGGAAGAGAGGGAAAAUUCAUCCAAUCUCGUGGUUCCGAUGGUUUACUUUUUAUAUAAUUUUCUCUGGUUAUUUAUAACAGAAUAUUAAUUUUGAAAUAUUAUUAGCACAUCAAAGACCUGCAUUUUAUUUAUAUCAUCAUCAUCCUUUACCACAUUGUCAUGACGAUUACGGUGACUGCGAGGAACAUGCAUUUAAAAAAGAUUUCGACAACACCUAUUGCUUAAGCUAAAAAGAAAGAAAUAGAUCAACAAAUAUUAAUAAAUCAAUAAAUCAAUAAAUAAAAGUCUAUGACAGUAUCUGAUCAUCCUGAUAUUUAUGAAUAAUUUUCGUACGGGAUUAUUUUCUUUAUCACGAGUUCAACGUGUUAUUUGUGUAAUCCACAAAUCCCCACGUAAAUUCUCUCUUAAUCAUUUGCAUCCUACCUGAGUUUAUAAAAGGACAAUAGACUCACAGCUUUGUCCAGGUAUCUGUCUGCGUUCUGUCUUUUUCCACGUAACUCCAAUAAAUCCUGAUGUCAUGGAUGCAUCC